rnacentral:rRNA from 1 species
CACGUAGGGUGCGAGCGUUGUCCGGAAUUAUUGGGCGUAAAGGGCUCGUAGGCGGUUUGUCGCGUCGGGAGUGAAAUCCACUGGCUUAACUGGUGGCUUGCUUUCGAUACGGGCAGACUGGAGGUAUGCAGGGGAGAACGGAAUUCCUGGUGUAGCGGUGAAAUGCGCAGAUAUCAGGAGGAACACCGGUGGCGAAGGCGGUUCUCUAGUACGGUACUGACGCUGAGACGCGAAAGCGUGGGGAGCAAACAGG